rnacentral:lncRNA from 7 species
ACUGCCAAAUGUUUAAUUAAAUCUUUUUAAUGAUACACAGUACAAUGUAUCUACUAGACUACAAUUCACAACAGAAAGCAGGUUUCGUAUCUGCUUAAAAAUAUUCUUCAUAAUAAAUUCAUAAAUAGAUGAAGGUAAAGUAUAAAAAAAUUACUAUAGUAUGCAAGCUUGCUCCCUUGUCUCUUCGUAUUCCAAAUGACCUAGUCAGUAUUGUAAUAGGAGAAGUAGCUAGUGAUGAUUACAAACAUACAGCCUGCAUCUCUCGAAGAAACCUUGGAAAAACAGCGACAGAUUUGUCCUAGAAAAUGCAGAAUAUUCUUAACACUGUUAUCCUCUAAACCCUUCAAAUCAUUUUGGAAUGCAGUGAAUGAAUUCAAUAUGAAUUAGAGAUUUGUAUUUUCUCCCCGGCAGGUGCAUGAGCCAGACUGGGUGUUACAGCUGUCACGUAUCAGUGAGCGAGGCACAAAAGAGGGAAAAGUUGGUUGAGCAUCUGACCAUCAAAAAUCUUAGCAUCUCUCCACAAAGACAACAUAAAAUCUUAAAACAGUUACAAAUAACUAAGUUCACCUUCUGCUCGGUAUGCCUGCAUCUAUGCUAUAUCUGGGAAGAGGAGCAGUGUCUGACCUCAUGCAUUGGCUUCCCAGGUUUUGAAACGGUAUGCUCACAUAGCGCUGUUUCAACGCUUAACUCCACAGACUGAAUCCCUUUUAUUACACCACCAAGCUGUUUCAGCAGUUACUCAUCGGUACAUCACUCUCUCAAGAAAACACACAUAGAGUUUUCUUAAGUACCAAAACACUUUUCAUACCUAGAAUGGUCUAUUUUUAUACCACUUACAAAGGGGAAAAACCUUAUUUAUGCAUGGCAUUGAAAUAGGGAAUUAACAUGAAAAAGAAUGAGUAUGCUCUGCCUUUUGCAUGAGUGUACUGAGAAUCUAGUUCCACACAACUCUUGUGCUAUUUUACAGCAGUAAUUGCUGAAAAUUCAGCUCUUAACUCUUAUAGAUAGCUUCCAAUUGUCAAGGCAAGUUGGCAUGCCACAUUUAAAGGACAAUCUUUCAUACCUUUGUUUUCAUAUGGAAUAGUUUAGAUAGCCAAAAUGGUUGGAUGCUCUAAAAAGGCAAUUUCUAAGGAAACGGUCUUCCAUUUAACGUUUCCCUGUUUCUGUCUGCAGAAAGAUACGUGUAUAUAUCUUGAUGGAUUAAAUGAUUAGAAAUCACAACUGCUAGCUUGCUCCAAUGUUGGUCAUAUGUAAAGUACUUUACCGAAGUCAAAACCUACAAAAACUUGGAUCCCUUCAGCUAGCUAUUACAUUUCAACAAUGUGUCCUUUAAGAUGUCUUGGUGAGUGUGGGGGGCUUAAGACUGAACCUCCUACAGUGUAGCCAACUGUGCUGUAGUUUGAGUAAGAAUAAACUUAGUAGGGGAACUGUGGUUCCCAGUAUCUUAAUCCAGAAUUUAAACAUCAAAAAUGUAAAUGCAGGAUAGUAUUUUGGUUUAUGAGUAAUUUUAGAAAGAUAUUUCACUUGUGGUAAUUCAGCUGGAAUACCCAAGUUUGCAUGGUUAAGCAAGCUUUAGAUGGAAGCGGCUUAGAUAGAAGCAGCUUUAGGAAGCUGCUGUACCUACCAGAUGCCUAACCCUGCUUACUCCACCUCAUCAGCUGAAUGAGAGCAAAGCUAGACUUAACUUUUUUUUUCAGAGUACAGUAUUAUAUACAUGUUACAGAUCUUAAGUCUCUGUCACAGAGGUGGGAGACGGGUAAUUAUGCAUGUGCAGAAAACCUGUGGGUUACAGUCCCACUGUGCCCCUUCAGAGAUUUAUGAUGAGAUUUUUUUUUUUGUAUAUUUGAGGUUGAGAGAAUAGAAAUCAGUAUCAGCAGCUCAGUUCAGUAAUCACUUUGGAAAAAUAUCUAAAAUUAUCUUGCAAAAGAAACAUACAAAGUAACUUUUUAAUGAUAAAAGAGCCUCCAUUUUUUUCUUUUAUUGAUUGCAAUGAUGUUGUAUCUGAUCCCCCACCAUUCUCAGAGGACGCCCCUGCAGAAAGGUGAUGUACUUUUAGGUUAAGCUACUCUGUUGUGUACACUUCGCUACAGCUCAGCAUUCCACCUUUGUUGGAGGUAGACAGCCACCAAAAGUCAAGCAGGAAAACCUGUAACUACAGUGUAUUGCUUUAACUACGGAAGGAAAUUACUUGCUUUAAACUGAGUAAUCAUUGACUAAACUGCCUAGGUUUGAUGAGAUAAAGUAGAAAAUUCUUCUUGGCUAACUCAGGCGUAGGCUUUACUUUUCUCAUUCUUGGGAACUGACUGUUUACUUGUUUUCCAGUGGCCUCGUACAAAUCAGUAUGUCAAAAUUAAGCAACUGUUGACACAGUCUGCCUUCAGUCACACCUAAAGGUAUACAGGUAAUCAGGGUGCCAUUAUCAGUAUUAGUGUGACAAACCCUUGUUGAAAAGAGACAGUAAAAACAAAGGAAAUUUAAAAAAAAGAAAAAGCUCUUCUGUUCUUCAGACUAAAAUGAAAUGAUAAAAAGGGGUACAGAGGGCUAAACAGGUGCUGAGAAUCAGAAUGUCUUGUUACAG